ACACAAUGGCGGAUUUAAGAAAGAUGUUCCAUUGUUGGAGGAAGUUGUGAUUUUGGAAGGUGCAGCUCACUUUGUCAACCAAGAAAGGCCAGAUGAGAUUAGCAAACACAUCUAUGACUUCAUUCAAAAGUUUUAAGCUUACUCUUUUCUCACUACCACUAGUCGAGUCUCGUUCUCUAUGGCAUGCACGUCUUUGAUAGGAUCGAUGGAGACAGAUGUAUAGAUAUGGCAUGCACGUCUUUGAUUGGAUCGAUGGAGACAGAUGUAUAGAAAGUGUGUUGUGCUUGAUUGUACUUGUUUUGAGUUUGAUAACUCUUCUGAUAAUAACUUUCUAAGUGAUUGUUCUUAUGGUUAUUUCUUUUUAUGCUAUAAAAGAGUGCUCUUAAGGUGAAUUGAUGGUCAUUUUUAGCUUGUCAUAAUAAUUGUUGCUAAAACAGGUUUACUUUAUUGAAAAUUAUUUCAUUUUUUCCUUGGUAGUGGUAAGGUCAAGUACACUUUACCUUUCUCAGACCUCACUUCUAGAAUUUUGCGAUGGGCCACUUGGCGCGUCGCGGUGAGGUUCCAAAAUGGGUUUCAGUUGCGAAUUUAAAUUCCGAAGGGAAAUCUCGUCUCCAUAACCCCAAAUUGUGAUAACAGUAGAUUAACUCGUCAUUAGAACAUUAUAUGUCCAAAAUUACUCAAUUUCUCUCGAGAACUAAACCCAACUCUUCCCCAAAAAUCAAGAAUUCAACCUCGAAGAUCAAGAUUUCAAGAAAAGAGUCAAGAUUAUGGUUCCAAUCUUCAAACUAAACAACAUAAGGUAUGUGGGACUAUCCUUAAAUUUCAUGGGCAUGGAUUUUAUCAUUUUAUCAAGUGUAAGGGUUUAUAAUCAUGUUGCAAACUAAGAGUUUGAUUAUUGAUUUAAAAAGCAUGUCAUGAAAUCGUUUUGCCUCUCUUGUUACGAAACGUAGUGUCUAUUUGUAUUGUGAGUGAUUCUGAAUACAUGAACUAAGGUUUGAAGGUAAGUUCCUUAACAUCAUGGUGUUUAGCAUGGUUUAUGAUAUGAUGAGAGGGAGUUUUCUUACUAUAACAAUACUCUUUGCAUUAAAAGAGAAGAAUUACAUGUGACUGAAUGAUUGACAUGAUCACCGCAUAUUUAAGUCUUGCAAAAAGAGGGUAAUUGCAUAAGUUUUCUUGAGAUUUCAAAAUGAUGACUCUCUUGUGAUGUUAUAAAUCUUUGGUGGUCAUUUGCAUGUUUUGAAUGAGAUGGGCUGUGAAAUAGAUACGAUAUGAACGACUUGCAAGUUUGGGUAUGACGUUACCCUGUGAUGGCAUGCCCUUAACAUAUUGAGCAUCGAAUGACCUUCAAAUAUUUCCAUCUCUACAUUUGGUGAAUCCCCUAUAAUGUCAUACCCUUCGAAUGAGUAUUUUUUUUGCUCUUUAGAAGCCAACUUUUUUUUUUCUUUACAACUUGAUCCAAAAUAAGUUAAAAAGGAGAACGGUAAAUCUUUGAUGGCUUUCUUGAGUGUGGUGCAGAUGUCUUUUUAACAUCUGACACAUCCUUUUUUGGCGUAGCAAAGGUAGACAAAAUUGCGGUGUCACUAAUCAUAUCCUCGUCUAGAGUUGUUGGUGGAGGCUUGUAAAUUAUCAAUGUCAUAUCGUGUUCUCGACCUGGAAUAAUACUAUCAAGCGGUUGCAUUUUUUCAACAACAAUGUCGCUCAGUUUCUCAAUUCCAUCAUCAUGAAAAGGAUUUGAAACAUUAACAAAUAUUUUACCAAAAAAGUUCAAUUAUUUUAAAUCCAAAAUAGUAACAACGAUGUCCACUUAUGUAUGUCAACUUUACCAAAAAGUAGUAACUUGCAUCUCAACUUUAUUUUAACUUGUAAGUUGUAUCUCAACUUUAUUUUAACUUGUAUCUCAACUUUAUUUUAAAUCUGAAAUAUUAAUUACAUAACUGUUUGUAUUUUUUUUUUAGUGAAUUAGAUUCUUACUACUAAAUUAAUCAAACUGUACAAGAUACCUAAAUGUUAAGUUAGAGACAAAAAGUAAAAAUAUUUAUCUUUCAUUUCGUAGCAUAAGAUAGGCACAAACCUAUUACAUAUAUGUCUUAGUUUACAUUUUAUCAUUUCAAGCAUGCCAAAAUAGUCAUGUUAAUUACAAAACACAUAAUGAAUGUUAAUUACCUUUUCAUAUUGUUCACCAUUCUUGAAAGGUGGUGGUGCUUGGUUGGCUUUAUCCUCCUCCAUUUCAACUGGUUUGCCAGUUUCUUUCACUAGACUGUCAGUACUAGUACGUCCUGCAACAUCAACAACAUCAUCCGAAGGAUCACCUUCUUGCCGGCUCUGUUUUAAAAUAUCUUCCUGUAGACUUUUUAUCAGUGAAUAAAAAUAUUCAAUACGACAUUAGUUAAAAAAAUGAAAAACAAUAUAAUUAGUACUUAUGAAAAGUAAGUAAACAUUAAGAUAUAUACACAUUACAAGAUAAUUAAAAUAGUAAAUAUGUAUCAUGGCCACCUCCAUUUUUUCUAUUUUUUCUGAGACAAAAUGUGGACUGAUGGGAUUACUAUGGCCUUCAAAGUCAGCAACAUCAUCUGAAUGUUGACCCUCUUUCGGGCUUUGUUUUGCAACUUUUUCCUGCAACAUAAGGAUGAGCAGUAAGAAUAAAUUCAAUAUAGUCGUUAAUAAAUGUGUAUUGUUUUAAAGCAUGUUACCUUCUCCACAGUCUCAUUUUUCGGCUGCAAUGACUUCAAAACUUCAGAGAAUCUGUCAUUCAUUAGAUGCUCUAAAUCUUUAAAUUUUUGGUCAAUCUAAUAAAUAUGCAUAAUUGAUUAGUUAAAAUGCAUACAAACCAAAAAUUUAUACAACAAUAAAGUAUAUAGAUCCUUACAUAUGUCUUCACAUAUGUCUUUAUUUCGGACUCUAACUAAUUUAGGUCCGCUUUAACCAAAAGCUCUUUCCUAUUUAUGCAUGUAGAAUCAACAUCCACUUUACUCUUUUCUUCUAUAUCUGUUGGAUUCGCGAGUAUUUGUUAAGCAUAUAAAAGAACACGAUAUAGAAACGUUUUCAUUAUGAGAAAAAUAUAAUAGAUGUUGAUAUGGAAAUACCUGUUGUCUGUUUUUAUUUUUUGCGUUCCGAAUCUGCCUUUCUUCUUUACUAUCUGAUCUUCUUCCUAUAGGGACAUCUUUUUCACUCUUUGACAGAGGUGCGAAUACUGUACGAGAUACGUGUAUCGACUCCCUCAUCAAAAAUUAUAGAGGUGUCGUACUGAAGUCAUUAAAAUUGUCAUAAUCUUCGAAAACUUGGGGUAAAUUCACUCUGUAACUCCUUUGAUCUGGAUUUUCAGUUGAUGAUGGCAUCGGGUAAUCAAAUGCAAUAUUAGUUGGCGGCAAAUCAAGUUUUUCAAACUUCUCCGCACUAGAAACAAUGUUGGCAUAUGAACACUAUGUACAAAACAUUUAUUCAUUAAAAAUUAUUAUGAUUAAAACUAAAAGUACUAUAAUGCAAUGUAUAAAAAAAAUUCAAUCAGUAUCGUACCUUGCUAAACAUUUCGGUCAUAAACUGAUUAAACUGAGGUCGGACUGCAAUAACCUUCCAAUUCAAUAUACGAAGUAUGUUAUAACCCUCUUUCACAGCAACUUUGGUAUCAACAUUUGAACAGUGUUCAAACAUCCACACAUUAAGAACCUAAGGGAUACCACCCAACCUAUAAAGCUGCUUCUCAACAAAAAAUUCUUUCCCACGUAAGGUCAUCAACCCGGAGUAGGACACUUUACCCCAAGAAAAGAAUUCAUAUUUUCCAUUUUUAACCAUUUUGACAUCAGACAAUGGAACAGGAAAAGCAUUCAGCUGUGAGUUGAUGAAUGUGUGGAUGAAGUAUAAGAUAGUCAUCUGGAGGGUAUCCUCUUUGUUUUCAAAAUUUUUCUUCAGAAAACGUUCCACCAAUGCCUCCUUAUCAACCCCAUUCGUUGAUUGUGGAAAAUAUCUUUUCAUAAGCUAACUCGGAGAAGAAUCUUCAUAUUUGAAAUCAACAUUACCAAAACAGUUUAAGCCAGUUAUUAAAGCAAAUUUAUAGAUGGAAAAUCUAAUAAUCUGGCCUUUGACAAACACAUGUAUCUCUUCUUGAUUUGGUUGCUUGAUCUCGAGCAUAAGAAGAUAUUUUGUUAUUUGUCCAAUAUAAUUGGAAAGAGGUAUGUUGAGAUAACAUCCAAAAAUAGUCUUCUCAAAUAAGUUUAAAACUUCUUGGCCGACAACUUCUUUAAUUUCAUCCUUAAAUCUUAAAUUGCAUGAACUUACAAAUCUAAGAGGAUGAGUUGAAAUUUCCUUUAUAACGUAACUGAUCAAUUCCUAAAAACUAAAAAAAAAAAAAAAGAGAUAAUACAUUAAUAUGACCUUAAACAUGACAUCAAAUUAUAACUUUGACCUUAAACUUUGAUAGUGCAUAAAUAGGACCUUUAACUAUUCAAAACCUGAACAAAUAUGACCUCCGAUUUUGCAACCCCAUGCGUGAGUUUCACUCGCGCCUACGUGGAAAGGUAAUCCAAUCACACGGUGCCACGUCGUUAAAAGGGCUGACUUGGAGGGAGGUCAUAUUUGUGCAGUUUUGACUAGUUAAAGGUCAUAUUUGUGCACUAUCAAAGUUUUGCUUUUUGUGUUAAAACGACGUCGCUAUUAUUAUUAUUAUUAUUAUUUAUUUAUUUAUUUAUUUAUUUCUAUAGAGGCAACACCUAGACUUUUUUUAUUAAAAAAAAACAGUCACUAGCAGGAAUUGAACCCGCACAGUAGGCUGAAGGAAGCGCCUAAAAAAAGCAAUUAACACCACUAGGUUGUCUAAGUGUCUUGUUUCAUGUGAUUCAACAUUAAUAUACGUACAUAAAUAUAGAUUUUCUAUCUUAUAUGUACAACGUAAUUUUUUUACCGAGGGGUUCGGGUGAACCCCGUGGCAAUCACGUAGGCCCGCUCCUGCGUUAAUUUAAUAACGUUUUAAUAACAUUAACUUAAUAACAUUUUAAUAACGUUAAUUUAAUACAUUACUACUACUAUCCUUAAUAACAUUAAUUUAAUAAUAUUUUAUUAAAACUAUAAUUUUUUUAUUAUUAGUAUAAUUUCAUAUUUAAUUUAAUAUUUAAAUAAAUUAUAUUUAGAUAUAUUAUAUAACUUAAAUUUUUCCUCUGCUUUAUAAUAUAUAUACAUACCCACCUAACUAAUAAAUCUUCAAUAUUGCUCUUUUUUCCACAAUGACAAAAGAAAUUAGAUGUCAUUUUCAUCUUUUGAGCCAAAAAUAAUGAAAAAAUAAUAGUGAAAAGACAUUUAAAGGUCAUAUUUGUGCAAUUUUGAAUAGUUAAAGGUCAUAUUUGUGCACUGUCAAAGUUUAAGGUCAAAGUUAUAAUUUGGUAUCUAGUUUAGGGUCAUAUUUAUGUAUUAUACCCUUAGAUUUUAAGUUGGACGAGCCCAGUUUUGCGUGUUGAUCACGCGUUUUGCCACGUGGGAUCGGAGGUCAUAUUUGUACAGUUUUGAAUAGUUAAAGGUCACAUUUGUGCACAGUCAAAGUUUAAGGUUAAAGUUAUAAUUUGAUGUCAAGUUUAGGGUCAUAUUUAUGUAUUAUCUAAAAAAACAAUAAUGAUAAAAUUAGUUGAGAUGCAAUAACUCUACAUUAAGACAAUACAAUAUAUACAAAAACUCUACGAACAUCAUUCUUUAGCUACAAGUUAAUACAACAUUUAUGUAGAUAUAGGCUUGUAUCUUUUGUAAUAUGACUUUCAAUAGCAAUUAAACAACACUAGAUACAUUUUAAGGCAUUAACAGUUAGUCACAGAUACAAGUUAAUACAACAUGUAUCUAUGAAGUUAUAACUCGUAUCUCUUAUAAUAAGACUUUCACUAAAAUUUAAACACCAAUAGAUACAUAUUAAAGCAUUAACAAUAACUCACAGACACAAGUCAACAUAACAUGUAUCUAUAUACUUAUAAACUUGUAUCUUUUGUUAUAUUAAUUUCAAUAUAAAAAAAAAUCACAAGAUACAUAUAAAAUUGGCAACAAAGAACCAGAUAAACAAUGAGUUUCUAAACGUAUCAUUCAAGUCAAAAUGUGUAUCUCGGCCUAAUAUUCAACAGAUCUGAACAUGCAAUUACCUAAGGAAGCUCAUCUCUAGAAAUUGCUUCGACAAUUCUUCUUCUCUUGAUGGGAGCUUUACUUGCAGGACUGUUGGAUCCUCUUUUCUUAGAACCACUUUCUUUUUUCUUGUCCUUCUUAGGAUGCUUUUGCCGUAAUUUCUUCAUAGUUUGGGGAUCGUUUCUAUGUUUUGAUCUAUUUUCAUUAAAAUCAUCAAAUUCAUAGUCAAAAUUUUCAGAAACGAAGUUUACAACUCCUUGAGAUUCUUUGAUACUUUCUAAUUGAGAAAAUCCAAGACUAAAAGAAGGUCCAGAAUCUCUAUUCAUAAUGAUAAUUCAAACAAUAAAGCAUAAAAAAAAUAUAAUCAAAGAAAUUACUCAACCAAAACACUCAAAUUUUACUUAGCUUUACUUGUGCAAAUUUUAUUUUUUUUUGAAAAAUAAAAAAGGAAUAGAAUAAAUUGAAGCUGAUUUUAUGGGAGGAAACUACCUUAAUUGAAAGUUUUGAAUUAGAUGGAGAAGUUGGAUAGAAACUACACCACAAAUUGCGACAUGCAUAGAGGAGAAGUGGGUUAUUUCAACUUUACCAAAAAGUAUGAAAUAUUACGAUUUAAGUAAUUUUCUUAAAAGUGGGGAGAUUUUUAAAAGUUUAGAAACUUAUGUUAUUUAUUUUGGUAAUUUUUUCUUUUUUAUAUCCAUCAUUUUUUAAAUGUUAAGGAUCAUUAAUGCUCCAUCGUGUUCACCCAAAACCAAGUGAAGCUCCAGACAUAAUGCACAGUGUUUGUACUUUUUCUAAUCCAAAAGAUAUUGUAAAGGAAAAAUAUGCAUCAUUUUUAGUUACGGAAUAAUCAAUAAUUUUUAAAAUUCAUCAAUAAAUUUAUUGAAAUACUUAAGCAAGAAUAUGUUACAAAUUUAGCAUCUGAACAAGUAUUUCUAUUAGAUACUUCUAAAAUUUAUGUAUGCAUUUUUAAGCACCUAUUACAUAGAUAAGUUAACUAUAUAAAAUAUAUCACUUUUUUUAAUUAUACACAUCGACCUCAAUCAGUUAGUUUUAUGAUUAACUGACGCUGAUAUGUAUAGUUAAAGGCCUCAUUCAUAACAAACCUCAGUUUUACGAGGUAUGGUUAAAAGAAUUGAUAUAUUCAACUAGUUAAAUUAUAGAAAAGCUUUUACACAAUUUGAAUAAAAAUAAUUCAAUAAAAACUUUAUCAUGUAUUUAGAUAUUUAAUCAAAACAAACAUUAACACCAAAAAAGAUACUUAGCGAUAACUAGUUAACGAUAAUAACUUAAUUAUUGCUAAAUUAUAUUUUUUAGUAGCAAUUAUUAGUGACAAUUGUAUUCUAGUGCUUUUUGUAAAUGCCCCUAACUAAUGUCAGUAAGUAUCCAAUGUAUUCAGCCUUUUUAAAACCUACUUUCUCGGUUUUAUUUUAUGUGUCGUCAUUUUCUUUUUAGUUCGUGUUAAAAAAAUGUCAUCUUUCCUUAUUUGAUAACUAUUUAAUGACAAUAUUUCCAUUUAUCCUUACUGGGUUCAACUUAAUAAAAAAAAAUAAUUAAAAAAUAAAUUUUAAGAGAGACAAUUUUGUAAACUUUAUAAAAUUAUCACUAAUUUCUUAAAUUUUCUGCCCGAUCAAAAUGCAAGACACAAAAUGGGAUUGAGGAAGUAAAAUAUUAUUGAUGCUGUCAAUGAUAGCACUUUAUAGUGAUAUUGACAUGACAACCAGUCAACCAUAACAGAAUCAAGUCUGACGUUUGUUACAGUUACAUGUCACAAUUAGGGGUGGGCAUGAUAUAGUAUGGUAUAGUAUUUUAAAUUUUGGUAUAGUGACUUCAGUUUUUGGUAUCUAAAAAAUAAUAUCAUUAGUUCGGUAUGGUUCGAUAUUUUUAAAUUCAAUUUCGGUAUUUUACGGUAUGUUAAUUCGGUAACUAUACUUUAUUUGAUUACUAAUUACAUAAAUUCAUAUAAAAACUAUAAUUUUAAAUUUUAAAAAAGUCUCAAGCAUGUUAGGCUAACAACUAUCUUUGUUAAUCAAUUACACAAAAAUAACAUUUCAAUCAUGAUUGAAUAGUCUGAGAUGCAAACUUUGAACAACAGUACCUAAACUUAAGCAUAGUACUCCUAAAUAAUAAACUUCCCAAAAAAUUUAUUUCUGAAAGCUACUUUUGUGUUCAAUUGGCUAAUGGGUGAUAUAUAAAUAUAUUUAAUAAUCCUAAAUAUAAUAUAUAUAUAUAUANNNNNNNNNNNNNNNNNNNNNNNNNNNNNUAUAUAUAUUAAAAAACUUUGAUGUGGUAUACGGUAUUUCGGUAUUUAUUGCAUAAAUACUAAAUACCAUAUCAAAUACCAAAAUAAUUUAAAAUUUCUACUAAAUACCAUACCAAAUACCAUAACAUUCAUAUCGCGAUAUAAAAAAUUUUGGUUUUGAUUUAGUAUUCGGUAUAUACCAUACAUGAAAACGAGAAGAAUCAAAAUGGAGAAGAUAGAGCACAAAAUGGCAGCUGUAAAUGGCAUAAACAUGCAUGUAGCAGAAUUAGGCAAAGGUCCAAUAGUCCUCUUCAUACAUGGCUUCCCUGAGCUCUGGUAUUAUUUUCUUGAAUUUUGAAUUUUGUAAGUCAUAAUUAUUUUUAUAUAUAUGUUGCUGGUGGAAGGUGGUAGAUAUUUUGUUGAUUUAGUCGAGUGUAUAAAAGUUGGCCUGAAUAUUAUGGUCAUAAAAAAUUCAUUGUUCAAGGAAAGUCUUUUAAUGAAGAACAAAAAGUUUAAAUCACCUUUUUAAAUGUCUUCACACUUUUAAUAUAUAUAUCAUGCCUCACAUGUAUAACUUUUGAUUAUUUAAAAUUAGACGAUUUUGUCUAUUAUAAAGAUUUUUAAUGAAGUGCAAAAAGUUCAAAUCACUUCUCAAAGAUCUUUCAAAUUUUAAUAUAAUAAUAUAAAUAUAGCAUAUAUUUAAUUGUAAUUCCAUAUUAGAUCGUCACUUUUACCUUUGUCAUGCAAUACCUCUUUUCCUUACGGCUAAUUGUAAUUUAAGAAUAUAUUGAACGGAGAACUUAAAACUUAUGAUGUGAAAUAAGUAAGAAAAACUAAAAAAAGGGCAGCUCGGUGCAGCUAUCGCAAUGCUCGGUGUCCGGAAAAGGGCCCACCACAAGGGUGUAUUGUACGCAACCUUACCUUGCAUUUCUGCUGGAGGCUAUUUUCAAGACUUGAACCCGUGACCUCCUGGUCACAUGGCAACAACUUUACCAGUUACUCCAAGGCUCCCCUUCAAAAGGACAGUCCGGUGCACUAAAACUACCGCUAUGAGAAGAAAGGGGUGUUGCGAGAAAAACUAAUCGCUUGUAAAUUGAACUUAUAUUAUGUCGAUGCCAAAUCAAAGCAAAAAUAAUUGCGAACAUGACAAAAGUACAUGAUGACUCUAAUCAAAGCAUUACCCAAUUUUAAAUUUUGAAAAAGAAGAAAAAAUAAGAGGAAGAAUAAUAUCUUUGAAAAGGACUUUUUCCAGACAAAUUUAUUAUUGAUAUACAAUUUACAUGUGAAUACAUAUAAUACAAGAGUCUCCUCUACGUAUAGGACUAAGCUACUUAGUAGCUAUGAUAAAGGAAUACGUAAAAUAAUAUCCCUAAUUUGUUGUUAGAUAGAAACACACUGACGUCUAAAUCAUGGUAAGUGUUUUGUUUUAAAACUUCUUAAUUUUUUUUCUUACCCCCAUACCUCCACCCCUAGCCCCCUAUCAACACCCCCCUCCCCCAAAAAAAUAUAUUUUAAAAUUUUUAAUUAUUUUUUUUAAAAUAUUCAAAAUUCCGCACCUCCCUUAACUCAUUCCUUCUCAUUAUUUUUGUUAAAUAUAUACAAAUAUUUUUAAAAAACGUUUUCCUACUUGCAUAAUGAACAAAAAAAAAGUAAGUAAAGACAACUUCUUUUUCUAAAAAAUAUUUUUCAUAACUUUUAAAAUUAUUAUCAACUCAACUCUUACUGCAGAAAGUUAUAACAUAUCCUUUACUACUCAAAUAGUCAGAGUUCCCGCCCAUAACAUAAUAAAUUGGGGUAAACUUAAGUAUUCCUAAAGCUCAUAUUGCAUUACAUCAAAAAAAUGUCUUACCAAUAUUCUGCAGUACUUUCUUUAUUCAAUCGAGGACAUAAAUAGAAAACAAAAAGGUGGACGUUCAAAGUAAAUUCUUAGUCAUUGUAGGGCCUAUAAGGACAUCUAACAUCUCAAACAAUACUAAUAUACAUGUGCACAUAACUUAUUUCUACCCUACAAUUAUUAUUUUUAUAAGUGGGAGGUUAUUUACGAUAAAUCAUCUAUUGAAGAAAUAAUAAUAAUAAUAAUAAUAAUAAUAAUAAUAAUAAUAUCAAAGAAUAAUCAAAAGUCUUAUUUGUAUGAGAUCAGUCGCCAAAUGCUGCAAAAUAAAAUGAAAAAAUCAAUUAGGUGUGGCCCGCACAAGAAAUGAAAUUUGUAAAUAUUCUACCAUGUAUAACGAUUCUUUUAUUUAUAAAUGUAAAGUACCUCAAUCUUAAAGUAAUUAACCCUAACUUUUCUCCUUAUAAUCAAAGUUGAUUUUAUCAUAUAUGUUUAAGAAAAUAGAAGAAUCUGUAUCUAUUACAUAGUUUUUUAAUGAAUGACAAAUAACUCAAAUAACAUUGAUAUUUUAUAUAAAUUCAAAGCGAUAAUACAACUCAAUAAGAUGUUGAUAUCCAAUAAUAUGACAGGAGCACAUGUAUAUUAGUAGAAGCUCCAAACUACAAAUUAAUAACUUCUACCCUUGAAAAAAAAAAAUUAUUAAGAAAGACUAAAAAUAUAUUAAGCUUACAACAAUAACAAUAUACCUCAUGAAAUGUCACAAGUGAACGCAAAUCUUGUCAUAUCUCGUGGAGAUAGAAGACUUCUUUCAAUAUAAUCGACUUAAUUGCAUCAAAUUAAUUCACAUCCUCGGUACCCUCUUAUUUAAGGUAAUGUUAAGAGGUUAACAAUAUCAUAAUUUUAUCACAACACCAAUAGAAAUAUAAAAAAUAAAUAGUAGAACGCAUAAAAUCAAUUUUACAAAAGAUGAAACAAAAAUUACAUAUUAAGAAAACAACUAAAAAUCUAAUAUGUAGUAUGUACAUUAAUCUACAAUGUAAAUAUUUCUCUUAAUUUCUCACCCUACUUUCUUACGUCUAACUAGCAAAUUUACUAUUGCAAGCUAUUUUCUCAUUAUCAACAUCAUCGUAUAAAAAUUUCUGUGCCCAAGAAACAAACAUUACAAAGAUCGACUUGAGUUUAUAAUGUCCCUGAAAGUUGAUAUAUAUAUAUAUGAAAAAUUAUUUUAUCGUAAAUCUCCUUUUAUGGUGCAAGAGAGACUUCAAUAGCAUAAUUAAUUACCUGAAUAUUAAAUCAAAAGCAAGUCAUUUCUUAAACUUGUAAGUGCUCAUAUACAUGUGAGAAAUUAUUUGCAUCUCUAUAUACUAAUGAAAUUAAUUUUACAUGUAGUGUAACUUAAAAAAAUAAUUAAUUUAUAUUUAGAGUGAUAGACAUAUCCGAAGUUUGAUCAAGUAUUUAGAUUGAUCAAGUAGCUGUGCAAUAAUUCUAGACUGAAGAAAAAAAGAGGAAAAAAUUCGUGAAAGAAUAUGCCUAGCAAAAAAUUUAUUACGACAUCAAGUUCUAGUCAGAUUUGACAUUGAGUCUUCAAAUUAUAUCGGCAAAUUGAUAAACCAUAAAUCAGUAGAAUGAAUGAUUGGAGUCUCUUCAACCUUAAUUACAUGUCUCAUAUUCUUCAACUUCUUAAAUUAAAAUAAAAAAAUCUUACUUGAUAAGUAGCAUCCAUUAAACAAAAGAAAACCUUUAAAAUUAUUUUAUCUUCAUAAUUUGUUCGUCAACUAUGUUUAUGUGUCGAUAUUUUCAUCAUUCGUCCGUCUGCAAGAUACCAACAAAAAAAAAAAUUAAAUCAAAACCGCGAACAACAAAGAACAACCUAAAAUCAAAACAAAAAUAGAAAUUUUGAACCCUUACCCACGUUUGUGUGAUCGAGUUAAUAUUUUGACUCUCAAUUGUCUCUUUUUGUUUUGAUACUUUGCAUACGUAUUUAAUAAGGAAAAACACUCUUAAUUGUAAUUUAUUUUCAUAUAUUUUAGGAUCUAUAUAUGGUAGGACUUGUACUCCCAUAUAUGUUAGGAGUAUAUUUUAAGUACGGAUCCCACAAUUCUUAUGGUAAUUAAAAUCAAUAUAUUGUAGAAAUUUUAAUUUAAUAAAUAAUAAUUAGAAGAAAAAAAGUAAAAAGAUGAUUUUGUCUAAAGUGGGGUCUUUUAAUGAGGGUAAAAAGUUCAAAUAACAUUUAUAUGGUCCUUCGCACUUUUAAUAUAUUAAAUAGAUUAUAUAGAUUAUAGAUAUAGAUAUAGAUUAUAGAUAUAGAUAUAUUACAGAUAUACAUUAUAGAUAUAGAUAUAGAUGUAGAUAUAGAUAUUAUGUCGGCCAUACCUCUUCGAAUAAAUUAUAUAAAAAAGAUUCAGAGUCGUAUCUUUAUUAACAAAUAGUUCAAAAUCAAACAAAUAAUAAGGAAAAUCGCUUCUUUCUCACGUAAAAUAUUUUUACUAUGUCAUUAUUCCAUCAUUUGCUUUUCCACUAAGUGAUUGCUUUCGACCUUAGCAUAUGAUCCUAAACAAAUUAAAAAAAGAUCAAACAACAUACCCAAUAAUUUGGAGUUUAAUUACAGAAAAUUUCGAUAUUUACAUAAUUACUAAAAAAAUCGAUUUUGAUUAUAUCGAGAUAUAUAAUUAGCUCAUAAUACAUUCAACGAAGAUAUAUUUUUUUCUUUGUAAAGAAACAUAAUUACCUCUCAAUCCAUUAUUUCCAACUUUGAAUUUAUCAAGAUAUAUAUUACAUCCAAUAAAAAUAUAUUUUUUUCUUUGUAAAGAUACACAAUCAACUCUCAAUAUAUUUUUUUUUUUAUUUUGAAUCUAUAUAUUUAUGUUAUUUUUUUUAUGUCCAUAUUUUUUAAAUGUUAAAGGAUCAUUAAUGCUCCAUCGUGUACACCAAAAAACCAUGUGAAGCUCCAGAAAUAAUGAAUAGUUUUUGACUUCUUGUACUUUUUCUAAUCCAGAAGAUAUUCUAAAGGAAAGAUAUUCAUCAUUUUUAAAUACGAAAGAGAUCGAUAAUUUCUUAAAUUUAUUUAAAUACUCAAGCAAGAAUAUGUUACAACUUUAGCAUCUGAACAAGUGUUUCUAUUAAAUAUUAGAUAUUUUUAAAAUUUAUUUAUGCAUUUUAAAGCAUUUAUUAUAUAUAAGUUAACUAUAUAAAAUAUAUCACUUUUUAAAAUUAUACACAUCGACCUCCAAACCUCAAUUUUACGACUAACUGAUGAGGCUUAAAUGUAUGGUUAAAAGAACUGAUAUGUUCAACUAGUUAAAUUAUAGAAAAGCUUUUAAAAAAUUUGAAUAAAAAUAAUUCAAUAAAUACUUUAUCAUGUGUUUAGAUAUUUAAUCAUAACAAACAUUAACACCAAAAAAGAUACUUAGCGGUAACUAGUUAACGAUAAUAACUUAAUUAUUGCUAAAUUAUAUUUUUUUUAGUAACAAUUACAACAACAACAACAAACCCAGUAUAUUCCCACCAAGUGGGGUCUGAGGAGGGUAGAGUGUACGCAGUCCAUACCACUACCUCUAAAGAGGUAGAGAGGCUGUUUCCGAUAGACCCCCAACUCAAGAUUAAAGAUAGUAUACAAAAGCAUCAAAAGCAAGGAACAUGAUAAAAUAAUAUAAAUACGACAUCCACAGAAGAUUGUACAUUGCCAAACAAAGAACACCAAAGUCCACCUAAUUACUGGCUACGACUCAUCCACACCCUUAGCCCUCUAUCCUAAUGUUUUUCCUCCAUACCUUCCUAUUUAGGGUCAUGUCCUUAGUCAGUUGUAACUGCUCCAUGUCACGCUUAAUCACUUCUCUCCAGCAUUUCUUCGGUCUACCCCUACCCCGCUUGAAACCUUUUAAGGCCAACCUCUCACACCUACGAAUUAGGGCAUCCGUACCCCUCCUAAUCACAUGACCAAACCAUCUCAACCUCACUUCCCACAUUUUUUCCUCCACAUAUACCACUCCCACCUUUGAUACAAGAAAGACAGGGAAACACGAAACAAACACCAAAAUCAGUCCACUAGACAAGAAACCGAGGACCUCUUUUGGUGACUCCUCUCGGAUUCGCUACCAACAAGAAGAAUACAAGGCACAAUGGCAUAAUAACACCAAAAUAGUAGCAACACAACAAGAACAAGAUGAACAAUAGACUAAUUUCAGAUUCCACAUUAACAACACAAACACACGGUUACAACAUCAAAACUAGUACACGAUUACAAAGAAACAAAAAAGAUAGAUAGUUAGACAAAAUGAAGGUAUAAUAUUAACAACCCAAAAACCUAUUCCACUCUUGAACAUUUAACAUCACACACAUCAAAUACCUAACUCUUACGUUGGCACAAGAGUGACCCCGAUCUCCCAAGCAUCCAACAUUUCCAAGCUUCAAUCCAACAUGAGCAAUUCUACACUCAAGUUGAUUUUCCUAGUUACAAUUUCGGGUUGGUGGUCUUCUCUCCUUAGAGAGGAAAUGUUUCAAGUUUUAUAAACUCAUAAUAUUCAUCAAAAUAUCCCUAAUGAAACCCUACAUUAUUCUAUUUAUAGUGUAUUACAAAUAAUAGGUAAAAUGACUAGAAGGCCCCUUAGUGAAGGGCACCCCUCUAGUAUAUGUAGUGAACUGAUUUGGCCCUUUUAGUGUAUGUAGUGGACUGUUUUGGUGUCCAUUUAGGUGAUCCUUUGCACUUCAUUGCACAUACCAAGCCUUGGAUCUAACGUACGCCCUCAUAAGUCCAUCUACGUGAUCGUACUCGUAUCAUCCUCCCCUUCUUGAAAAGUAUUCGACCUCGAAUCCAUACCUUGAAAAAUCAAAGAGGAAACAAACAAGUACACAUCCUUAUGGCAUGAGGGUUAGGGUUAGUAAAAUAAACAAUUAGCACUAUCAUGCCACGGUGGUACACACUUGAAGUACAACCAAGGAUAUUUUAUGUUAAUUAUGAAAAGCUUUUGUACAACAUCACAAACGAAAGGGCUCGGAUGAACAUUAAGAAUUUAGGGACAAAAUCCAAGACUACGCCUCUCAUACGAUGUAUAUCCAACAGCAUCACGAAUAUCAUCAUAUGCAUAUAGGUAGUGAAGAAAGGUACCAAAGAGACAAUUCUCAUCUAAGAUGUAUUCACAAGUAGGAACACACAACUAAAGAAAGGGUCAUUGCAAGCACGUAGGACCUCUCUCCUUCCAACCACUUACCGAGGGAAGGCAUUCCAUCAAGGGAGCCAUACCAAUAGGGAGAAUAGGGAAACUACCAUGCAAAAAUCCAAUCCAAGGCAAGUAGUUUGCCCAAGAACUCGGCUUCCCUCUACAAAUGAUGUGAAGCACGCUCCCAAGAGCCCCACAAGAAACUUCAACUUGUCCAACCCCAUGAAGGUGACAAGAAUUUUUUAACAUCCUUGGACCUUUCCACAAACAAGAAUACAACUUGGCAUCCUCCAGUUGUGGUUCACAUAACUUAAAUACAAGUGUGUCAAACAUGGAUGCACGGAUAUGAGCAACACCCCAAAGAGACAAUGACACUUUUUCCUACGGUCCUCGAGUAGACACAAACCAACAUUAACAUCAAAGGGAUCACAAUUCAAGUCACCAUAUUUGUCAAGCACGGUUGGGGUUUCAUGAAAAUGAGUACAAGCAAAAUCAUUUUUCAAAGAUAUGUCAAGAACAUGAUUAACCCUAUGAGUCAAGCAAACAUUAGAAUCUUUACAACAACAUAGGCUCACGAGUUCACUCCUUUGUCCUUGACCAACAUCAUCAAAUUCUUCAUUCACUUGAGAUUCAUUAAUCACAUCACAUAUAUUCUCAAGUGGUGGGCAAGUUUUACACACAAGUUGAUCAACACAAUUCCACAUAACGAUGUACUUUCAUUUAACAUAAUAGCUUCAACACUAGGUGGACAUAAAUCGAUCUUACUAGAAGAGUCGAUUCAGUCAUCUAUAGAAUCAACUAGUGUAUCCACUCGCACAAUAUGUACAUCAUCCACAAGUGGUAAGGAAUCAAUAUACUCAUAUGUAAGUAAGCUACUACUCACACUCAACGACUUAUUAGUCACAUGUUCAUCAUUCACAUGUACCAAAGUAUAAGAGUUAGCUAUUUUUCCUUAACGUUCAUGAGUAUGUUCAUAUUUACCUCGGUGUGAAAGUCCUUCACAAGUUUGGGCAGCAACUUCCUUCGAAAAGCUCUCACCGCAAGGUGUUUGAACCCUAGGUUUUGGAUUUAUUGGGAUAAGUGUGGAUACCAAUUGGCGUAGCCUUGUCAAACAUGGUAUCGAGAUUGGUGGCAGCCAUGGUACCUAAAAGAAAAGACAACAACGAACAAUAAAACAACAAACUUGUUAGCUCCAAAAUACCUCACCACACUCUCAAUCUCGAUUUUUACCUCACACUUGGUUUCAUAAGUGUUGAAAGUCGGCUUGUACUUUGCGAGUGAUUGAGGGUCGAGUCUACUCUUGUCCGAAAUAGAUUUUCGUUUGAGUUGACUCAAAGAAAAUUUGUUUACGGACUUGAACCAACAAAAUACAACGAAUUCACAAAAGAUAAAAGCAUACAACAAAAAUAGACAUGAACAAACGGACUCUACAACUAACUUACAAUCUAGUAGGAGAUUAGUAGUUUGUUAAUUAGUGUUCAAACCAACAAAUGAAACUAGGAAACAAUAAAAUGAAACUAAGAAAUCUAAAAUUUGAGCUUAAAAAUUGUUGGUGAAUAGUAAAAAUGUGAUGUGGCAGCCACGUAUUGGUUGCAGUUGUUAUCAAAUUUUAUUUUCUAAUUCAAGUCUUGGUCCAAUUAUAAUUUGAAAUUGGUGGGAAUUGGCUAAGGAAAGAAAUCAAGUCUUGAAAUCCUCUUUCAAAUUCAAAAAUAAGACUUGACUUUUCUCCUCAAGACAUGGUCCUUAAAUCAUGAAAAGUUGUUGGAAAAGUGGUUGUUAAAGUCCUUGAGUGGUUGGAAUUGAUUGUAAAAGUCUUGAGAGGUCUUAAAUUUUGAAAAUAUGUCUUUCAAGACUAACAAAAUACACACUCUCUUUCUUCAAAUUUCAAGAUCAAACAUCCACUUUUUCUUCAACAAUAGAUGAAGAUGUGAAGAACACAUUUUUUUGAAUCUUGAAGUUCUAAGGUUCAAGUUAGACCCCAAACAUCAACAACACCUUUUCAAGCUUAAAAAUACAACACAAUAACCACCAUACACAUUCAAAACUUGAACCAACAACACACCACACGUCCAAGCUUUGAAUCCGCAACAACAAUACCACCAACAAUCACACGGCCAAAGUUUAGGUUCAUAACAACAACAUCAACAAUUGAAGCUCAAAUCUAGAUCUAGACUUCUUUAGUGUUAGAGAUGAAGAAGAUAACACUAGAAACAACAAAACAAAUAAAAUGACUCCUAGAUCUAGACUCAAAACAAGAAAAAUUUUGGCCAAGACACAAAAUGGACAGAUUUGCUUCUUUUUGGAAUUUUCAAAUUUCAACUUUUUUUUUUAAUUUUCUAACGAGAAAGCCCAAGAUUGAUCUUGUAGGAAUAAGAUCUAGCCAUCCUCUGAUGCCAAAUGAUACAAGAAAGACAAAGAAAUACGAAACAAACACCAAAAUUAGUCCACUAGCCAAGAAACCGAGGACCUCUUUUGGUGACCCCUCUCGAUUCACUACCAACAAGAAGAAUACAAGGUACAAUGACAUAAUAACACCAAAACAGUAGCAACACAACAAGAACAAGAUGAACAAUAGACUAAUUUCAGAUUCUAUAUUAACAACACAAACACACGGUUACAACAUCAACACUACUACACGAUUACAAAGAAACAAAAAAGAUAGAUAGUUAGACAAAUUGAAGGUAUAAUAUUAACAACCCAAAAGCCUAUUCCACUCUUGAACCUUUAACAUCACACACAUCAAAUACCUAACUCUUACGUUGGCACAAGAGUGACCCCGAUCUCCCAAGCAUCCAACAUUUCCAAGCUUCAAUCCAACACGAGCGAUUCCACACUCAAGUUGAUUUUCCUAGUUACAAUUUCGGGUGGUGGUCUUCUCUCCUUAGAGAGAAAAUGUUUCAAGUGUUAUAAACUCAUAAUAUUCAUCAAAAUAUCCCUAAUGAAACCCUACAUUAUUCUAUUUAUAGUGUAUUACAAAUAAUAGGUAAAAUGACUAGAAGGCCCCUUAGUGAAGGGGCACCCCUCUAGUAUAUGUAGUGGACUGAUUUGGCCCUUUUAGUGUAUGUAGUGGACUGUUUUGGUGUCCAUUUAGGUGCUCCUUUGUACUUCAUUGCACACACCAAGCCUUGGGUCUAACGUACGCCCUCAUAAGUCCAUCUACACGAUCGUACUCGUAUUAACCUUUUUUCGAAUAAUAUCAUUCCUAACCCUGUCAGCCCUUGUGAAACCACACAUCCAAUGCAACAUCCUUAUUUUCGCCACUUUCAACUUCUGGAUAUGAGAAUUCUUAACCGGUCAACACUCCGCUCCAUACAACAUAGAAGGUCAGAUUGCAAUUCUAUAGAAUUUGCCUUUUAGCUUCUAGGGCACCUUCUUAUCACAUAAAAUACCUGAAGCAAGCCUCUAUUUCAUCCAACCAGCCCCAAUACGGUGAGAGACAUCCUCAUCUAUAUCUCCAUUCCCCUGAAUCAUAAACCUGAGAUACUUAAAACUAUCCCUCUUGCAAACCACCUGAGAAUCCAACUUCACUACCACCUCCUUCUCGUGCCUCGAGUCACUAAACUUGAAUUUCAAGUACUCCGUCUUGCUCUGCUCAACCGGAAACCUUUAGACUCCAGGGUUUGUCUCCAAACCUCCAGCUUAUCAUUAACCCUUUUUCGCGACUCAUCAAUCAAAACUAUAUCAUCCGCGAAAAGCAUACACCAAGGCACCUCGCCUUGUAUAUUCCGCGGCAACACAUCCAUCACCAAAGCAAAUAAAAAUGGACUAAGAAUUGAUCCCUGGUGCAACCCUGUUAAGACCGGGAAAUGUUCAGAAUCUCCUCCCACAGUCCUUACCCGAGUCUUCGCCCCUUCAUACAUGUCCUUAAUAGCUCUGAUGUACGCCACCGGGACCCCUCUGGCCUCCAAGCAUCUCCAAAGAACCUCCCUAGGUACCUUGUCAUACGCCUUUUCCAAGUCAAUAAACAUCAUGUAAAGAUCCCUCUUCCUCUCUCUAUACCGCUCUACCAGUCUCCGCACAAGGUGAAUUGCCUCAGUCGUGGAGCGAUCAGGCAUAAAACCAAAUUGAUUCUCCGAAAUAGCCACAAUCUUCCACAACCUCUGCUCCAACAUUAUUAGUGACAAUUAUAUUAUACUCCCUCUGUUUUAGAAUAAAUGAAUUGUUAAAAUAUUUAUUGAUGUUUCAAAAUAAGUGAAUAAUUGAAUUUUUUUUUUCAAAAUUACUCUUAUGAUUUGACAAGCAAAAGACUGCAGCUUUUUUGGGGGGAGGGGGAGGGGGGUAAAAGAGAUUUCAAGGGUAAAAAUGAAAAUUUAUAUCUUUGAUGUUUUUUUCUUAAUCUGUGUGUCAAAAUCCAACAAUUCAUUUAUCUCGAAACGAUGGAAGUAGUAUUUUUUGUAAAUGCUUAUAAGAUCUUUAUUAUUCUUUGUUCGAUAUCCAAUGGAUUCAGCCUUUCUAAAACCUAUCCCUCCGUUUCAUUUUAUGUUUCGUCAUUUUAUUUUUAGUUCGUCUAAAAAAGAAUGGCAUCUUUCCUUAUUUGGUAGUAACUAUUUAAUGACAAUAUUCUCAUUUUAUUCUUACUAGAUCUCACUUAAUAAGAAAAGACAAUUAAAAAAUAAACUUUAAGAGGGAUAAUUUUAUAAACUUUACAAAGUCAUCACUCAUUUCUUAAACUCCGUACCCGAUCAAAAGGCAACACAUAAAACGAAACGGAGGAAGUAAAAUAUUAUUGAUACUGUCAAUGAUAUCACUUCAUUGUGAUAUUGACAUGACAACCACAACAGAAUCAUGUCUGAUAUUAGUUACAUGUCACAGUAGUCCACAUUUUGCUAUCAAACAAAGAUUAACAAAAACCCAUAAGUUUCCAAAAGAGAAAAGACUCAAGAAAAUACAAAGUGAAAAAAAAAAAAAAAGAGAAGAAGCAAAAUGGAGAAGAUAGAACACAAAAUGGUAGCUGUAAAUGGCAUAAACAUGCAUGUAGCAGAAUUAGGCCAAGGUCCAAUAGUCCUCUUCAUACAUGGCUUCCCUGAACUCUGGUAUUAUUUUCUUGAAUCUUGAAUUUUGUAAGUCAUAAUUAUGAUUAUAUAUCUGUUGCUGGUGGGAGGUGUGGUAGAUAUUCUGUUGAUUUAGUCGAGGCGCAUGAAAGUUGGCCCGAACACCAUGGUCAUAAAAAAGAUCUUAGUUAUGUUAGAUUUAGUAAGUUUGGGAAACUUAUAUUUGUUUAUUGUGUUGUAUAAUUUUGUUCUCUAUUUGUUUUGAUUUUGUUAUUGAAAGUCAACUUACCACAGGUGAUAAGGAUAACUAAUCCGGGGUUAAUUUAGACGAGGAGCUUAUUCCAUGUUUGGUUGGGACAAAAUAAGUGAGAUAACUCAUCCCGGGAUUAGUUAUCUCGGGAUUGAAGUGUUUUUCUUAUCCCUCCUGGAGAGUCGGAUAACUAAUCCCGGGAUAACUUAUUUUCCAACCAAACAAGAAUUAAAGACUAUGUUGCUGUUGUUGUUGUUGUUUUUAGUUAUCGGUCCUAAGCCGGGAUCUAUCGGAAACAACCUCUCUACUUCACUUGAGGUAGUGCUAUGGUCUGCGUACACUCUACCCUACCCAAACCCCACUAGGUGGGACUCAUAGGGGAGAAUACACUGGAUAUGUUGUUGUCGUUGUUGUUGUUUUGGUUGUGUACUUAGUUAAUCCAGAAUGUGCCCCAAUUGUAGUUAGAAACUUUUCCCUAAUGUACAAUUCUUCUAACUAGGCUUGUUGAAUCUUGUUAAAUACUUAUGCUAUUUUUUUUUUAUUAUUCUCUUUGCUUUGACUGUGUGCUAGUUAAUUGAUGAUCUUAAGAUUUGGGAAUUCACUUGUUGUAGGAUUCUGAAAGGGCUUGAGUAACAUUAAAGUUGUCUCUGUGUGACCUAUUGAUCACGGAUUCGAGCUAUAGAAGCAACCCAAUGAUGCUUCAUUAUAGUAUUAGGUUGUCUACUGUACCCCUUGGGAUGUGGCCCUUCCUUGAACUAACCUUGCGUGAACGCAGGAUGCUUUUUACAUUGGGCUGUUCUUUUUACUUCUUGUACAAUUAGGAACUACCCGAGAUUUGUAUAAUGAGAUUGUAAUUAGGAGAUUCUUCUUACUGUACAAUUUCUCUCAUUCAUAGUGAAAAUCUCUCUUGUUUUCGCUUUUAGGACUAAGCUUGGGUCAACCCGUAAUACUUUGUGUUCUACAGGUACUCAUGGCGCCACCAAAUGGUCUAUUUAGCUGAACGUGGCUACCGUGCCGUGGCACCAGACUUAAGGGGUUAUGGAGAUACUACAGGUGCACCCCUUAAUGAACCUGCAAAGUUCAGUAUCUUUCACCUUGUGGGUGAUCUUGUAGCACUGCUUGAAGCCAUAGAUCCAAAUGAAGAUAACGUGUUUGUUGUUGCUCAUGACUGGGGUGCCAUAAUUGCUUGGAAUUUAUGCCUUUUUAGGCCAGACAAAGUUAAGGCAUUGGUGAAUUUGAGUGUCCAUUUUUUUCAAAGGAACCCACACAUGAAUUUCGUGGAGGGGUUUAAGGCUUUAUAUGGGGAAGAUCAUUAUAUCCCGAGAUUUCAGGUUCUCGUUAUUCUUGUCUGUGUAUCUGUUUAAUUUGUCAUUUAUGUUUGAUAGGUAUUCUACAAGUUUAAUGCAACAUGGCACAUUAAACUCUCCAUGCACACUGGAUUCAGGUUGUGGCGGAGGUAGAAUUUUCACCGAGGAAUUCAUCGUGUACCAUAUAUACACAAGAAAGAAACUUUGGCCUUAUAUAUACUGUGCGUGAUUGUCCAGCAAAGAAGAUCCGGAUGAACCUCCUUCCGCCCGUCCAGCUCCAGCCCUGGCCAUUCGGGGAUGGGCUGGACCAUAUUGAGUCUAUUGUUGACAAUUCUUACCUUGCAAACAUUACGUUAGUGAUAUCUCAUUAAUUUGUUUGGAACAUGUUGCAUACCAUUCAAACGUUCUUUGGAAUAACCGUAAUAUUAACUCUAUCUUAGUCUACCUGACUUUGAAUUGAGAGAGUACGUGUUUGCCUCUUGUAGAUAAGUCAGCACUCGUUUGGGGUCCGCCCCUGGCUUUGUCAUUUAGCGGUAACAGCUGGAGUUUGCUCCUCUUUCUAGGGAUCUAAUGGUCGUAAACUACCUUGUAUGAUAAGGGAGUAGGUUUCUCGAGAUUUAAUUAUUUCAGCAGCAGAAAGUUCACAAUGAUUUUACAUUGCAGGUACCGGGCGAAAUUGAAGCUGAAUUUGCCCCAUAUGGUGCUAAGGCUGUUCUUAAGAAAUUUUUGACAUACCGUGAUCCUGCACCAUUUUAUUUUCCUAAAGGCAGAGGCCUCGACGCUAUCCCUGAUGCUCCUGCUGCCCUUUCAUCUUGGCUGUCUGAGGAAGAGUUGGAUUACUAUGCCAGCAAGUUUGAGAAGACUGGUUUCACUAGUGCAGUCAACUAUUACCGAGCUCUUCCAUUGUAAGCGUUCCUCGCCUUCUGUGAUAUUGAAACCUUGGCCAAAUAGAUUAUAAAAAAAAAGAGAAAAUGCACUAUUUCCACCUUGAACUAUAAACGAAAUGGCUGAGACACACUUCAACUAAACGGGGGUCCUAUUACCCUUGGACUAGUUAAAACUGUAUUUUUGGCAACCUUAAGGCCUGCGUGAAUCAACAUACUGAAGGUCCAUGUAGGCACACAUAUGUGCCCACGUACGCACUUAAAGUUGCCAAAAAUACGGUUUUAAUUAGUCCAGGGGGUAAUAGGACCCCCUUUAAGUUGGGGUGUGUUUCAACAAUUUUGUUUAUAGUUCAGGAUGGAAAUAGUGCAUUUACUCUUAAAAAAAAUACCUUAGUUUGUCUUAGAAGACAAAUUACGUGGACCUUAUUAGAAUGAAACAAACAUGAAAGGAGCAGAAUCGAUGCGGUGGAGCCUCACAGAACCUAACUAACUUGUAAUCGAUGCAUAGUUAAUUGAUCGAUAUAAAUUAUCAUGCUGUCUAGGAAGUCUAGAAAACUGUGAAGUUCAUGUCUUCAUGACCGCUAUCGUACUCUAUGUUGCUCAGGCUCUUCAAAACUGGUGCCACACUUGUGCCGGAUCCUCUAAAAUGCACUGUUUUUGGAGGAUCCGACACGCAUCAAGAAGCAUUUCAAAAGAGUCCGAACAACAUAGAUUCUAUUAGUUGCUUUUAGACUAUCUUGAUCAACUUCUUCAUACAUGGACGCUAGCAACGCUUAGUAUCUUUAGUCAAGAAAAUGUCAUUUUUGACGUAUAUAUAUAUUUGGGAUUUGAAGUUUGGAGUUGCCCGAAACUUUACAUACAUCCUAAAGUUCUCUGUCUUAUGCAAUGCAGAGACUGGGAACUCACAGCACCCUGGACUGGGGCUCAAGUUAAAGUUCCGACCAAGUUUAUCACUAGUGAAUUCGACUUGGUUUAUCAUAUACCGGGUGCUAAAGAGUACAUACACAAUGGCGGAUUUAAUAAAGAUGUUCCAUUGUUGGAGGAAGUUGUGGUUAUUGAAGGUGCAGCUCACUUUGUCAACCAAGAAAAACCAGAUGAGAUUAACAAGCACAUCUAUGACUUUAUUCAGAAGUUCUAAACUUACUUUUUUCUCACUACCACAAGUCGAGUCUGACUCUAUGGCAUGGACGUCUUUGUUUGGAUCGAUGGAGACA
rnacentral:lncRNA from 1 species